ACAAUUGAUGAAGGGAUACUACAAGGUAAUCUUCUUAGUUAAAAUGUAAAGUUCUUGUGUAUUGUCUUGACAUGUUUGUGUGUAUGUAAGAGAGAAAGAGGGUGCAUGUAUAUGAAAAAUUCAUAACAAAUUUGUUGGACACGUUACAGAUAUGAAAGCAUGCGUAUAUCUAUCAUAUUUCAGACUUCUAAAUCAGAACCUUCAUACCAAAGUUAUAACUUUAUUCAUUUAUAAAUAUUUGAUUGUCUGCUAAACUUAAAAACUGAGGCAAAGGGCUUAUAAAAGGCUCAUUAUGAAGAAUUCUGUCUGUUAUGUAAUACCUUUUCCCUGAUAAACAAGCAACUUGUGUGAUGGUCCAUAGACAUAGUAGUCAAUAAUGUUGCUUACUUAGAGCUCACAUCACACUUAUCCAUGGAGUCUUAUUGACACAUGCUGGAUCAAGUUGUGUCAGUUACAUGUCUUUACUCUUGUAUCAGAAUCCUUCAGCUACAAAUCAGGUCAUAGAUAGCGAUGGCUGGCU
rnacentral:lncRNA from 1 species